rnacentral:rRNA from 1 species
UACGUCGGGUGCGAGCGUUGUCCGGAAUUACUGGGCGUAAAGGGUUCGUGGGCGGCCUGUCGCGUCGGUAGUGAAAGCCCACUGCUUAACGGUGGGUCUGCUUCCGGUACGGGCGGGCUGGAGUAUGGCAGGGGAGACUGGAAUUCCUGGUGUAGCGGUGGAAUGCGCAGAUAUCAGGAGGAACACCGGUGGCGAAGGCGGGUCUCUGGGCCAUUACUGACGCUGAGGAGCGAAAGCGUGGGGAGCGAACAGG